AUUGAACGCUGGCGGCAUGCCUUACACAUGCAAGUCGAACGGCAGCACGGGAGCAAUCCUGGUGGCGAGUGGCGAACGGGUGAGUAAUAUAUCGGAACGUGCCCAGUCGUGGGGAUAACGUAGCGAAAGUUACGCUAAUACCGCAUACGAUCUAAGGAUGAAAGCGGGGGACUCGCAAGAGCCUCGCGCGAUUGGAGCGGCCGAUAUCAGAUUAGGUAGUUGGUGAGGUAAAGGCUCACCAAGCCGACGAUCUGUAGCUGGUCUGAGAGGACGACCAGCCACACUGGGACUGAGACACGGCCCAGACUCCUACGGGAGGCAGCAGUGGGGAAUUUUGGACAAUGGGCGCAAGCCUGAUCCAGCAAUGCCGCGUGCAGGAUGACGGUCCUAUGGAUUGUAAACUGCUUUUGUACAGGAAGAAACCCUUUCACGUGUGGAAGAUUGACGGUACUGUAAGAAUAAGGAUCGGCUAACUCCGU
rnacentral:rRNA from 1 species